GUUUUGUUUGAGCCUUCCAGCCUUUUGCCGAGCCGAGGGAGGCGUUCAAGGAGAGGCGGUCCGAGAGCGGGGAAUCAACCUACCUGUAACAAAAGCCAAGAAAUUGGAGAGGAAGGGAUUAUAAGAGAUGCUUGUCCUAUGGAACACAUUCUUCCAGAAAUCAGAUGGCCCCAAUCUUGUUAGUCUUCAAUAAGAUCGGACUGUUCCUCCAAGCAUUCAAGCCAAGCCAUUCCUCUGAAAAAUUGAUUACUGUAAUCAGAUUCUGGGAAGAUUCUUUAAACCAAUUGUGCCUGUUUAAAGUCUAUACAUCCACACACAAACAAAGAAAAUACAGAUGGAGAAAUGUAAAAGCAUUUGAAAAAAGCUUUUUUGAACUGCAAUAAC